rnacentral:rRNA from 1 species
UGGGGAAUCUUGCGCAAUGGGCGAAAGCCUGACGCAGCAACGCCGCGUGCGGGAUGAAGGCCUUCGGGUUGUAAACCGCUUUCAGCAGGGACGAAGAUGACGGUACCUGCAGAAGAAGCCCCGGCCAACUACGUGCCAGCAGCCGCGGUAACACGUAGGGGGCGAGCGUUGUCCGGAUUUAUUGGGCGUAAAGAGCUCGUAGGCGGUUCCGUCAGUCGGGUGUGAAAACUCUGGGCUCAACCCAGAGACGCCACCCGAUACUGCGGUGACUAGAGUCCGGUAGGGGAGUGCGGAAUUCCUGGUGUAGCGGUGAAAUGCGCAGAUAUCAGGAGGAACACCAACGGCGAAGGCAGCACUCUGGGCCGGUACUGACGCUGAGGAGCGAAAGCGUGGGGAGCGAACA